GAUGAACGCUAGCGGCGUGCCUAAUACAUGCAAGUCGAGCGAACGGACGAGAAGCUUGCUUCUCUGAUGUUAGCGGCGGACGGGUGAGUAACACGUGGAUAACCUACCUAUAGGACUGGGAUAACUUCGGGAAACCGUAGCUAAUACCGGAUAAUAUUUUGAACCGCAUGGUUCAAAAGUGAAAGACGGUCUUGCUGUCACUUAUAGAUGGAUCCGCGCUGCAUUAGCUAGUUGGUAAGGUAACGGCUUACCAAGGCAACGAUGCAUAGCCGACCUGAGAGGGUGAUCGGCCACACUGGAACUGAGACACGGUCCAGACUCCUACGGGAGGCAGCAGUAGGGAAUCUUCCGCAAUGGGCAAAAGCCUGACGGAGCAACGCCGCGUGAGUGAUGAAGGUCUUCGGAUCGUAAAACUCUGUUAUUAGGGAAGAACAUAUGUGUAAGUAACUGUGCACAUCUUGACGGUACCUAAUCAGAAAGCCACGGCUAACUACGUG
rnacentral:rRNA from 1 species